GCUGGGUGCGGUGGCGCACACCUGUCCUCCCAGCAGCCUGGGAGGCUGAGACAGGAGAAUUUUGAGUUCAAAGCCAUCCUCAGCAAUGAUGAGGUGCUAAGCAACUCAGUCAGACCCUGUCUCUA
rnacentral:sRNA from 1 species